UGACAAACUGGAAAAGGAAAGAAAAACAUGAAAAUACAUAAUACCCUGCACGCAUUUAUUUAUUAAAUUUAUAUCCUACCCUAUCCAGUAGGCUCAGAGUGGUUUACAAACAACCCACAGGUGGUGAUGGAUGCUUUGCAAGAGCUGCAACAGGAAAUAAUUAUGUCAAACCGUGUGUGUGUACACAUGUGCCCACCACCUUCUCUAGGUAGCCCAGUUAUUAAGAGGCUGAGAUUUUGCACGUACGACAAUGCAGCAUGAAGCAGCAAAAAUAUAGUAUUACAAACAGUAAAAUAGAAGCAAAGACCGCAUACAAAUAGGUAACAGUACCAAGUAAACACUGGGGCAUUAGUGACUAUGCCUAGUGACAAAGGUUUUCUCUGUUAUGCAAAACUGCAAUGAAGCACAGACAGAUUAAAAUUACAAAGUAGCACAAUCAUGAUAUUACAAGGCCAAUAUAAUUUACAAACACAGUACCAAGUGAAAGUAUCAAACGUGUGCCAAACCUGAACAAUUUCGUGGGCUAGAACGGUUAAGCCAUGCCAAUUUCUGUAGCCAACAGUAUUGACAGAUUUGUUCAAAUUACUCAUGCCUGAACCUUCAAUUUCACGUGCCAGUUCAUUCAGAAUUCUGGGAAGCAGCUUAUCCAGUUCCCACUUCCCUCUGGUUUGAGAUCAUUAAGCACUUUUUGUUUUGCCACAAUUAAUAUUGUGGCAGUUUCCACAUCCUUAUACCUUUUAUAGCUGUUUUGUCUUUGUUACUGUACUGAGAAGUGAAUAAUUAAUUUUGUUCCCAUAUACCUAUGCUCUACCCCUUUGUCACUGAAGAACUGCCUUGCUGCAAAGCAGUGAAGAAUUUCAGCCAAUAUGGUAUCUAAAGCACUGUCAUUUCAGGCAGUGGAUUCCAGUUUGCUUGCACUGAGUUUGUACUGUGUAGGAAUUCAGUCAUUACACAAUAUUGCUACAACACUGCAGUCGAAACACACUGUACAAACCAAAGAAUACUGCAAAAACAAAGAAAUAUUAAGACAUGCACAAACUGAGUAAUAGUCCUGCAGAGAGGACUUUAAUAUCAAGCAUAUCAUCUUAUCAAGAUGUACACAUACCUUGGUGCCUACAGCCAUGCUACACCAGGCAUUGUGGAUGGAGUAACAUCAAAAAAGGAAGAGACAUGCAAAGGCCAAAAAACCUAUUACAACCAUCAAGCUGAAGGAUCCCCCCCCGAACAACUAGGAGACUUAGCAUCAGACUAUUUCCUGGGGACAUAUCCUGCACUUGGAAAGAAGCUUCAUGGGCUGAGCAGAACAGCCACAUCUCCAGGAAGAUGAAAGAAGGAGCAAGGUCAUGGAGUCAAGGAAGGGAGAUUUGAGGCAUGGUCUUGAAGACAGAGCAACUGGGAGGUAGGAGCAGCUUUCCAGAAAGCAUUGUUAAAGUCUCAGUGCAGAGAUUCAGCAGCCAAUUAGUGGUGUAACAGGAUCAAUAACAUGAGGCAUUCCACAGAACAGGAUAUUCAGGGCAACUUUGGUCCGUGUGAACCUUCUGCAUCUCCUACACCCACCCCAUUUUUUCCCUAUGAAGUCACUAUGGUUGGGACUUUUAUCUGGCGAGCCUUCUCCUAGGUUCCCAGCCUAUUCUCUGGGAACCUAAGGGGAUGUAGUCAGCCCCAUCCUGAGCCAGCUACAUAUUGGUUCCACAUCGGCCGGGCCAGGGUAGUGACCGAGCCCUGUGGUCCUUAGAACUAAUCAGACUGAACAGCAUUUUAAGGACGGUUACUUUUCUUAAAAA